UGGUGAACUAUGCCUGAGC
rnacentral:siRNA from 1 species